AAGACACGUCACUCUAGCAUUUAAAAAUUUCUAGAAUUGCACAUAGUAAAAGUCGAAGCUUUAGGCUGCAUUUACGAAAACCCCACAAAACACAGCAAAAUCUCUUAAUUCUUCAAAAUAUAUACACAGUCAUAAAUCUUAAUUCUUGUAUUCAGUAUAUCGCAAUAGACUAAACGGGACGGUGGGGUGGUUCUGACAGGUAAUCUUCUAAAGAUCCCGUCUUUCCUGCUUUAGAAUUUUCUUUGCCUGAAUUUGUUUCCUUUAAUUCUUGAUCCUUGUGAUUCUGUGAAUUGCUUCUCUUAUUUGCUGGAAAGACACGAUCUUUAAGAUUUUCUUGGUAGUACUUUUUUUUUUUUUUUUUUGCAAUUAAUUUGUUGGUGUUUGAUUUUGGAAUUUGUAGCUAUAUUUUCUUGGAUUUUCUUUUAUUAUUUUUAUUACUAUUUUUUAUUUUUUUGUAAAUGGAAUUGGAUUUUUUGGCUACUCAUUGUUUAUUAUUAUUAUUAUUAUUUUUUUCAAUUCAUUUGAUGAUUUUUAUUAGUUUGAAUUAUUAGUGGGUUCACAUUUAUUGCUAAAAGAAAAGAAUUUUAGCUUGAUUUCUUAAUUAUAAGUCUUGCUCUUACAUUUUACUGCUGAGGAUACUUGAUCAUCAUAUAUAAUUCUUGAGUAUACUUGAUGCCGGAUAUGCACAAACUUGAUAAAGAACAAUAAGAUGAAGAGACUAAAGAGAUCAAAAAGGGAAGAAUGGAGGGCAAAGAGGAUUGUUUUAUUUCAUAAAAUUCAAGUUGUUCUAAAAUGAUUCCCUAUGUCCCCUUUAUAUAGUGAAGGACUUCGAAACUAAACAAACUUCCUUUCUAUCUAGAUAAAAGAUAACAUCAAACCUUCUAUCUUGAUAAAUUGAAAUAAAAGAUAACAUCAAAAUAAAUUGAAUUAAAAGAUGACAUCAACUUUUAAUUCUACUUAAUCCUAGUAUUUCGCCUUGAAUAGGCUUUUAACUCUUUUCGUGUUGCAUCAAUACUGUUGUGCAUAUUUGAGCAUGAAAUUAUCAGUUUAUUUCUGGGUUUUCGUAUUGUUGUUGAGUUUUUUUUGCAUAUGUACGCAUGGUAGAAUGAAUCAGAUCUAUUGACGUGUGUCUUAUAUGUGCAAUGGGUGUGCCUGUUCUUCAGUAGAUGUUUUCGUUUGGAUUUCUUUGCUAUGCUGUUAGUCUGUAUUCUGUAGGUUCCCAAGUUAUUUAGUAGGCGACGUGGAUUGACUAUCUCGAUUUACUAUUUGUUAUAGGAAGUUAAAGAAACCGGUGUUAGAAAAUAGAUAAAUAUGGCUAAUGCGGCGGCUAUUGCUGAGAGGGCAACUGGUGAUAUGUUGAUUGGUCCAGACUGGGCAGUGAAUCUAGAGCUAUGCGACGUCAUAAAUAUGGAUCCUGGGUAUUAUUUUACUACCUUUGCUUUUGCAAAUGCAUAUUUAUUUUUCCAGUGUGACUUUUACUUGAAUAGAUUUGUAUAUUUGUCCUUUGUGGCUCUUGUUUUUUGAGUCUUUAUUCACAUCAUUGAUUUUGUGGUUUUAUUGGCAUAUUGAAUGGUCAUUUUUGUACCACGGAAGACUUUUUGGCAGCUAGAGAAUUUUUCAUAUGUGACCUGAAAUUUUAUUUAUACCAUGAGCAUGGUUGGCUAAGGUUAAAAAUCAACGAUUUUUUCCCAACAUGUUUGGAUAAGCUCCCUUUUUUCUCAUUUUUAAUUAAACAAAAUUUAAUUAGGUUAAAAUAAACUUUUACCUUAUUGUAAGAGACAUACUUAUUUUCAAUUUUGCUCAAUUAGUUUUUAUACUUACUUGUUACUUACAAAUAGACAUAAGUGAACCUUUUUAAGCUUAGCCAUACAAGCUCUACAUGAUAGAUUUUCGGUUGUGCUAAUUUCAAGAUUGAUUGUAAGCAUUUAGAAGCCAUUUACUUGUUUUUCUCCCUUAACAAGUUUUGGCAAUACUUGAUCCCCUACAUGCAUUAGAAAUGGAUGAGUGAGUAGCCAGAAUGUUAUUUUAAGUAGGGUCACUGAAUAAUAAUACAUGGAUAUCCAUCUCACUAUUAAUAGAUAUUUUCAUGAUUAAACAAGGAAAUGUAUGUCCUAUGAGGUUUCCUUUUCCCUAACAAAAUUUUGAGUUCCAAGUGUAGAAUUUGGACUUCUGAAAAGUGUGCAACUAUGAUGAUUGAAUGUGGGUGACACGAUGUGAUGUGUAAUAAGGUCUUUGGGGCAAUAGUGCAUGUAAACGUACAUGUACAACCCAUGAUCUGAUCUGGAUGCUUGAAAUUUUGAAGGAUAAGUCCUUGCUUGAUCCCCAUUAUUUUUAAAAUAUAUAUUUUUCUCCUUUUUUUCUUUCAACCGCACAUUUUUCAAUAAAAUAAUAUUACAUGCAAAUUCAAAAUUUUGUAUUUGUGUGUGUGUAUAUAUAAAGGUGUUUGAUAUUCAUUUUUAUGGAAAAAUGAAUUUUAGAAUAGUAGAUUGAUGGAGAAUGUGUGGACGAAAAAUAAGGAAAAGUUUUGAUUUUUUUUUAUAGGUAAUUAGAGAAUUUUAUUCCUUAAAAGAGAGUACAUUGGAGGUAUACAAUCACUUUAAGCAUGAAAGGAACAACAUGAAAUUAGGCAAUCCUACGACAGGAUUUUUAGCCACUGCAUUAAACCAAGUAUACAAAGUCAACUAAAAUAAUUCACUUAUCUGCUCUGUUGUCUUUAUUUGGUCUUCUAAACAUCGAUCGUUUCGUUCUCUCCAUAUGCACCAUACAAUGCAUCCCGGGAUAAGAUUCCAAAAAAGUUUGCUAUCCUUAUCGCGAAGUUUUCUCCUCCAUGCCCGCACCACGUCUUCUAUACGCCUAGGUAGCACCCAAUCCAUUGAUUAAAAAGCUAGAAUACUGUUCCAAAGUCAACGUAAACCAUCACAAUGAAUGAAUAAAUGAUCAAUCGUCUCUCCAUCCUUCUUGCACAUAUAGCACCACUCGGUUACAUAAAAUCCUUUUCGUCGAAGAUUAACCACCGUUGACACCUGCUCCCUCAUAACUGUCCACAAUAGAAAUGCUACCUGUGGAGGCAAUUUGCUUUGCCACACCAUCUUCCAAGGUAAUAAACUCUUCACAAAUCCCAAAAGAGAUUGAAAGUAUGAGGGGACUGAAAAAAUACCAUCUCGAGCCAACCUCCAUGUUGUACAUGUGGCUCAUAUAGAGUGGAACACAGGCCCUGGAUCAAAUGGGGCGAUGCCGGCGCGGAGUGGAGUGAGAGAAGCGGAGCGACGGCAUCGGCCUUGCGCGGGUUUAAUUCACUGUCUGGUUGUUAGGGUCGUUGAAUGGGUUGGGGGUGCGGGGGCAACGCCCCCGCGGUACGGUACAGGGGUAUUUUCUGUACGGGCCUUAAAGUUUUAUAUGGGCCUAGAUUAGGGUUAGUAUAAAUAAUAUGUUGUAACCCUAUUUUGCAAAAACAGAAUAAAGAAAUCUCCGCUUCGCUCUCGUGGACGUAGACACAUCGCCGAACCACGUAAAAUUCUUGUGUUAAUUUCCGUUUUUCAUCUCUUUAAUAUUGUGCAUAAAAUCCAACACUCCACCUGCUACAAUCACCCUUUCCUACCCGAAUUUGUAUUUCAUGCAGAGCGGUAAAAAACAACGAAUAAUCUUCCAAUUCUCAAUCCUGUAAACCCCUCCCAAGAGUAAUAUUCCAACUAUAGCCCCCAUUAUGAAUGACUAAUACAUCACCCACCAUAGCAGCAGGCUCUAACGCAAUGAGGUACAAUGAAGGAAAUCUCUCCUUUAACGGUUGAUCGCCACACCAACUAUCAUCCCAAAAUCUAAUAUCAGUGUCAUUUCCCACCACAAAAUUCAGUUUGUCCCUAAAAUCACUCCAUCCCCGUCGGAUAUACCUCCACAAGCUUACCCCAUAGGAGCCACGACCCUCAACCGUACACCAAUCCCCCUCCAUCACACCAUACUUUGCCCCAAUGAUUUCUCUCCAAAAGCCCCAAUAAAGCCUUAUUAAACAAAACAAGGCUCCUCACUCCAAGUCCCCCAUCCUCAUAGGCAAACAAACAGUAACCCAAUUAACCAAAUGCAUUUUCCUCUCCUCCCCUAACUCUGCCCACAAGAAUUUUCUUUGAAGUCUCUCUAAUCUAUUUGCCACUGCAACCGGAAUAGGAAACAAUGACAAAAAGUAAGUGGGGAGAUUUGAAAGUGUGGAUUUAAUAAGAGUAAGUCGGCCUCCCUUAAAAAGAUACAUACGCUUUUACCAUGCUAACCUCCUCUCCAUUCUUUCCAUAAUACCAUUUCAAAUAUGUGUACUUUUAUACCGUGCCCCUAGCGGGAGCCCUAAAUAUAACAUGGGCAAUUGUGCAAUCCUACAUCCCAAUAUACCAGCCAACUCCUCCACGUUAGUGACCUCUUCUACUGGAAUAACCUCAUGUCACCCCCGCGGUACGGUACAGGGGUAUUUUCUGUACGGGCCUUAAAGUCUUAUAUGAGCCCAGAUUAGGGUUAGUAUAAAUAAUAUGUUUUAACCCUAUUUUUGACUACUGAAUAAAGAAAUCUCCGCUUCGCUCUCGUGGACGUAGGCACACUGCCGAACCACGUAAAAUUCUUGUGUUGAUUUUCGUUUUCAUCUCUUUAAUAUUGCGCAUAAAAUCCAACACCUCAGAUUUCCCCAAAUUGAUUUUUAAUCCAGACACCGCUUUAAAACAUAGGAGCAAACAACGCAGGUUCCUGAAUUGUUCAUCAUCCACAUCACAUAAGAUCAACGUGUCAUCUGCAAAUAGCAAAUGAGACACCUGCAAUUGGCCAACUAUAAAGCCCUUACCAAACCCUCUCCCAUAGCUCUUUUAAACAUCCUACUAAAAGCUUCCAUCACAAUAACAAAUAGUAAUGGGGAUAGUGGAUCUUCUAGCCGCAAUCCUCUACUAUUCCGAAAAUAACCCUCCGACGUUACGUUGACCAUAACUAAGAACGAAACAGUAGAAAUAUGGAACUGAAUUCAUUUACACCACUUAUCCCCGAAGCCGCACCUCCUAAACAUAUACAAAAGGAACCCUCAGUUCACAUGAUCAUAUGCCUUCUGAAUAUCGAGCUUACAUAGCAUCCUGGGAAUUUCCAAACGCAAUCUUGAAUUAAUGCAUUCAUUCGCUAUAAGCACAGAGUCCAAAAUCUGGCGACCUUUUACGAAAGCAUUCUGAAACUUGAACGCUAAUUUUUCGAGCACCUCCUUUAAUCUGUUCGCCAGGACUUUCGUAAUAAUCUUAUACACCCCACAGACUAGGCUAAUAGGGUGAAAGUCCUUAAUGUCGGUCGCUCCCGAUUUUUUAGGAAUCAGCACAACAAAUGUAGCAUUAGAACUUUUUUAGAACAUGCCACGUUCAAAAAAUAUGUAAACACACCCAAAAUUUCCAAUCACACCAUCUCCCAACAAGCCUUGUAAAAUGAGAACGAGAAACCGUUCGGUCCAGGGGUCUUAUCCUCGUUUAUGCUAAACACUACCUCCUUGAUUUCAUCCUCCUCAAAGGGUCACUCUAACCAACCGGCAUCAUCCUCCGUGAUAGUAGAAAAAUCCAAUCCUUCCAACUCUGGCCUCCACUCAAACUGCUCCCGAUAUAGAUUCUGAUAGAAAUUCACCAGUUGGCUUCCAAUUUCGAGUGGUUCUUCAUAAAUUAUCCCAUCCACUUCCAACAUUGUGAUAGAAUUUUUGCGCCUAUUAGAAUUAGCGAUCUUGUGAAAAAAUUUAGUACAUUUAUCUCCUUUCAACCAAUUGACCUUAGAUUUCUGACGCUAAGCAAUCUCCUCCAUCUCCACCAACCUCUCCAAUUCUUCCCUUAAUACUCUACGUUUCUCCUUCUCCUCCUCAGUCAACCUUCGACUCUCCUCCCACCUAUCCAACUCAUCUAUCUCCGAAAGAUACUGAAUUUUACGACAGUUCACAUUGCCCACAACCUCCUCAUUCCAUUUCUUUAAAUCCCUUUUUAAAGACUUCAACUUCUGAUCCAACACAAAACUAGGAGACCCCCUGAUAUCGUAAGAUGCCCAUCAAGUCUGUACUUGCUCCCUAAAACCUUCAACUUUCAACCACAUUUUCUCGAACCUAAAAGGCCUUCGUCUUCCACCCGUCUUGUUCCCAGUUAAUAAAUGGGGAACUGAUCAGAGUACACCCUCCCCAAUCUUCUCUGAAUGACAUUUGAAUACUUAGCCUCCCACUCUCCGCAUAUCAAGAACCUGUCUAUACAAGAAAGAACAGGUUGGUCCCGAUCAGAUGACCAGGUAAAAUCUCCUCCAAUCAUAGGCAAAUCCACCAACAUAUUCUCCCUUAUAAAGUCUGAAAACUCCUCCAUAGCCCCCGUGAGUCUCCCACCGCUCGACCUCUUAAUAGGAAAUCGAACCACAUUAAAGUCACCUCCUAUACAUGUUGGUAGAUUUCACCAAGCCAUCAUUCCAGCCAGUUCAUCCCACAAGCCCCGUCUACUGUCAUCAGUAUUAGGCCCAUAAACACCUAUGAACAUCCACUGAAAUCCAUCCUCAAUGUUUCUGAACGACAUCGAUAUUGAGAACAAUCCUACACUCACCUCUUCCAUCUCAAGCACUCUGGUGUCCCACAUGACUAAUAUGCUUCUAGAAACCCCUGAUGAUCCCAUAAACUGAUACCUUAUAUGCUGUCCCCCUCAUAAGCUACUGAUCACCGCCCUCGAGAUGACCUCCAUCUUAGUUUCUUGUAAGCAUACAAGAUCCGCUCCUUAGCCCCUUAGCAGAUGUCGAAUGCCCAUUCUUUUCUCAAUUUCAUUAAGUCCCCUUACAUUCCAGCUAAUGAUUCAUGGUAUCAUUUUAACAGUCCGGCAUCCCUUCCCAGUACUCCAUUCUUGGACUCACCACCCUUGCCAUCAUAAUUAACUGACCAUUCGAGCCUCUUAAGUUCACGAUUGCCCUUUCUUCUUAAUUUACCUUCUUGUUUACUCAUCUCGUGUCCCCUAUUGGUCUCCAAAUCCUCAAAUAAUUGUAGUAAUCUGUCUUUGUAUCCAUCACAAGACGCUUCCAUUAACUUACUGAAAUCCUGAAUUUUCUGUAGAACCUAGUUCGAAGGUGGGUGUCCAGCUUCGAAUCCAAUCAAUUCCCCUGUUUCCUCCACCUGUAUGACAUCACUUUCUAUUUCUCCCUUCUUGGUUCCAUCUACCCACAACACCAGUGUUUUUCUGUCCCCAAGUCACUUGCCUUCAUUGACUUAGAGUUCCUUCUAUUAUAUGUGUUCGCAACCCUUGUUGUCAAAGGUGUUGCGUCGUGCUCUAUCACCCCUGAGGUAACUAGAUCAUUUGACAGUACAUGCCUCGUCCCUUGGUCACCUAGUAAAAGCCCAUCACCGUGUGGGACUGUGUCCAUUGCACCCAUCAUUACUGUCUCCAAGUUCACCAUACUCGGGUCCCCUUCUUUAGACAAAGGUACCACCUCUCGGUCUACAUCGGUCCCCGUGUCUAUCUCAUCCAUAUCCAUCCCCUCUAAGACAUCACCGUUGUCAUAGUUAGAGUGCCCCUCAUCCGUUUCAAUCCGAUCAAUAGACUCACAAGUGAUUUCGAGUCUUCCCUGCUUUACUUGAUUAUGUGCCGAUUUCUUCUUAUUAAAACCCGAUGCUUGUUUUCCAACAGCUGGAUACUCAUCCAAACCCACCCCACACUUGUGGCAACAUAACAACUUCUAGGGACCCAUUUCAUACCCACUUCCCACUAGCCUAAUCAAUUCCUCCAACGCUCCUUUCAAUUCCUGGACAUGGGCCAUGAUUUCAACCCUAUUCAAACAACAAUCUUGACCUUCGUUUAUACUGACAUUGAUAGUCAUCUCCUUUUGCUGUCGCAUUCGCUGGUUAGCAUGCUUCGAGGCAUGUAAGUUUGCUGUCACAUCUGCAUAAGUCAAUUUUUGUCGAUUACGUUCAUUCAUCAGUCGACGUUUUGCCUUAUCCCUAGCAACAAAAGAAUCAACAACAUUUUGAAACACUCGCGAGAUUGAUGCCCAUCCUUCUCUAUUCGUACCUUCCGGCACCAUCACAACGCCCUUCCAACGCCUAUCCCUGUACUGCGCUAUCAUCAAGUACCUACCACUGCCCGUCUUUCUGGUUUUCCGGCGUCGGCGUGUGCCUGCCACCCGCCGUCACACGUGCCGUUCCGGCGGCGCGUGGGUCCCUCAAUGCCGCCCCCUCGUCGGAAUCGCUUGCGCAUUUCGUCAGUUAGGCGCGUUUGUCAGGCAGGUGGCCGGAUUUUGCAGAAUCUGGAUCAGGAUACCCUGUUUUCCCACCUCUACUCUGAUCUCAUUGCCGGUUUCUCCAGCUAGGGUGGCGGUGCUAGGGUUUCCACCUAGGGCCGCUACCUGAUUGUGUGGCUUAUUAAGUGGCGUAAGGCUGGUGAAUGGGGAUUGGCCGGUCGAUGUGAUGUUGCCGUCGCCGAUGACUAUAGGGAACGGUGGUGAUGGGGUGUUCGGUGGCUGGCUAAGGUUGUGGUGUUUGGAUGUUAGGGAGGAGAGAUCCAUCUCUGUGGGAGAGAAAAUUAUGGGAAAAAUCAGAAAUAUUAUGCUUCCACGUGUGGACAAAAAAUUGUAUGUAAGGAAAAUUUUUGAUUUACGUGUAUAUUAUUUUAAUGAAGAAUGUGUGGUUAAAAAGAAGAGAGAGAAAAGUGCAUUUUGAUAAAAAUGAGAAUUAAACAGGACUUAUUGUAUAUAUUUUGAAAACUUGAAUCCAGAUCUCAUUUUGUAAUUGUAGUUUUAGCCCCUUAGUGUUCUCUUGUGAAGGUUGAAGUAGAUGAAUAACAUCAUCUGUCUCAUGAAAUUGAAAUCACAGGCAAGCAAAGGGUGCACUAAAGAUACUCAAGAAAAGAUUGGGAAGUAAAAACCCUAAGAUACAGCUCCUUGCAUUGUUUGUGAGUAUUCUUUGUUUUCCCUUCUCUCCUAGUCUUGGACAUGGCCUCUUUGAUACAUUUACAAACACGAGAAAUUUCUGUAACAUGAUAAAUCUAAAGCAUUAAUUUGUACACAGCAUAUUUUUCAAGAUUUAGUGAUUUACUAUGUAGACUUGGGGAAGGUAUACUUGUAUUAGAAUGUUGGCGGCCGUAUUAGUCAAAAUUUACAAAUAUGUUUCGUUCUAGGUUCUGGAGACUCUUACCAAAAAUUGUGGAGAGAAUCUGUUUCAGCAGAUCAUUGAGCGGGAUAUUCUACAUGAAAUGGUCAAAAUUGUAAAGAAGAAGGUGGUGAUAGUCUUAUUUGCUCAUGAUAUCUUUAGUUUUUAUACCAUGCGAAAUCCUAAUGUACCUUUUAUACAAGCUUUCAAUUUAACUUUUGCAGCCUGAUUUAAAUGUGAGGGAGAAAAUCUUAAUCUUAAUAGACACUUGGCAAGAAGCCUUUGGGGGACCCGGGGGAAGAUUUUCCCAAUACUAUGCUGCCUAUAAUGAACUGAAGGUAAUUUACAUCU
rnacentral:lncRNA from 1 species